GACCACCACGAACUCUGUCUGAUCUAGUGAAGUCUGAGUUGAUUGUAUCGCAAUCAGUUAAAACUUUCAACAAUGGAUCUCUUGGUUCCGGCAUCGAUGAAGAACGCAGCGAAAUGCGAUAACUAGUGUGAAUUGCAGAAUUCCGUGAAUCAUCGAGUCUUUGAACGCACAUUGCGCCCCCUGGUAUUCCGGGGGGCAUGCCUGUCCGAGCGUCAUUGCUGCCCAUCAAGCACGGCUUGUGUGUUGGGUCGUCGUCCCCUCUCCGGGGGGGACGGGCCCCAAAGGCAGCGGCGGCACCGCGUCCGAUCCUCGAGCGUAUGGGGCUUUGUCACCCGCUCUGUAGGCCCGGCCGGCGCUUGCCGAACGCAAAUCAAUCUUUUUCCAGGUUGACCUCGGAUCAGGUAGGGAUACCCGCUGAACUUAAGCAUAUCAAUAAGCGGGAGGAA
rnacentral:rRNA from 1 species